rnacentral:rRNA from 1 species
CAGAUAAGGAGCUUGCUCCUUUGACGUUAGCGGCGGACGGGUGAGUAACACGUGGAUAACCUACCUAUAAGACUGGGAUAACUUCGGGAAACCGGAGCUAAUACCGGAUAACAUAUUGAACCGCAUGGUUCAAUAGUGAAAGGCGGCUUUGCUGUCACUUAUAGAUGGAUCCGCGCCGUAUUAGCUAGUUGGUAAGGUAACGGCUUACCAAGGCAACGAUACGUAGCCGACCUGAGAGGGUGAUCGGCCACACUGGAACUGAGACACGGUCCAGACUCCUACGGGAGGCAGCAGUAGGGAAUCUUCCGCAAUGGGCGAAAGCCUGACGGAGCAACGCCGCGUGAGUGAUGAAGGUCUUCGGAUCGUAAAACUCUGUUAUCAGGGAAGAACAAAUGUGUAAGUAACUGUGCACAUCUUGACGGUACCUGAUCAGAAAGCCACGGCUAACUACGUGCCACAGCCGCGGUAAUACGUAGGUGGCAAGCGUUAUCCGGAAUUAUUGGGCGUAAAGCGCGCGUAGGCGGUUUUUUAAGUCUGAUGUGAAAGCCCACGGCUCANCCGUGGAGGGUCAUUGGAAACUGGA